GUGCUUGCUUCAGCAAUACAUAUACUAAAAUUGGGAUGAUUCAGAGAAGAUUAGCAUGGCCCUUGUGCAAGGAUGACACACAAAUUUGUGAAACAUUCCAUAUUUUU
rnacentral:snRNA from 1 species